UACGGGGGGGGCAAGCGGUUGUUCGGAAUUACUGGGCGUAAAGGGCUCGUAGGUGGCCAACUAAGUCAGACGUGAAAUCCCUCGGCUCAACCUGGGAACUGCAUUUGUGACUGCAUCGCUGGAGUACGGCAGAGGGGGAUGGAAUUCCGCGUGUAGCAGUGAAAUGCGUAGAUAUGCGGAGGAACACCGAUGGCGAAGGCAAUCCCCUGGGCCUGUACUGACGCUCAUGCACGAAAGCGUGGGGAGCAAACAGG
rnacentral:rRNA from 1 species